UACGUAGGGGGCAAGCGUUGUCCGGAUUUAUUGGGCGUAAAGAGCGUGUAGGCGGCUUACUAAGUCAGGGGUGAAAUCCUGGAGCUCAACUCCAGAACUGCCUUUGAUACUGGUGAGCUUGAGUCCGGAAGAGGUGAGUGGAACUGCGAGUGUAGAGGUGAAAUUCGUAGAUAUUCGCAAGAACACCAGUGGCGAAGGCGGCUCACUGGUCCGGUACUGACGCUGAGGUGCGAAAGCGUGGGGAGCAAACAGG
rnacentral:rRNA from 1 species